UUCCAUCUGACCCAGAAACACAUUAAAUAUCGACACAACAUUUAGAGAAAACAUUCAGAUAGAAUGUCCCACACGAGACUUGUCAUUCAAAAAUGAACGGAUUAAUGGAUUUUUAAUUUAAAUGUUUGUUAUUUAUUUGAUAUUAUUUUAGUUAUUUUUUUGAUAUUUUUUUGUUAUUUCCUAGUCUCUCAGUCAACACAGCCAGCUGAGCAACUGUAUUUAUUCCCAUAGCAUAACAUAGCGUAGCCAGAUAACCUAGUUAGCUUAAAAGCUAAACUGCAGCAACACAUCUCUACAGUGGCUUUUGAUAACUGUCCAAGAUGAAGGUGUCAAAAAUACUAAUUUCACUUGUAUUUUUAACAAAUGUUUUCGUGAAUUUGAGAGCAAUGGAUCCUCCGAAAACAACCGACUCCAAAGACUCAGGUGACUCAAGGGUCCAAGAAUUGAAGAAGAGGUGGCAAGGAGAAAGACAGGAGUUGUUGAAAUUCCCUUGUUUCCUUAAAAAGGAUCCUGCAACUAAUGUAAAAGGAAAGCAAGUCAGUGAUGUAAGUUAUUUGUAGAGCAUCUUUUU